GCCAGAAGGUUCUCUGGUGGAGGCGCUCUUCCUGGUGUCCCGCCCAGUAGGUGAUUGAAUUACUCAGAUAUGAAGAUCAUCAUCUAGGUUUUGUGUAAAAGGCCCUGGAUAUUUUAAGUGGCCAUUUUGGAUUUACAGUGUUUUUGGAUAAUUUUGCCCCAGAAGUUUAUUAAAAUUGGCAAGAAUCGUCUGUGAAGUGAAUUGAUAGUAGUGAACAAUUCAGCAAGCUACUUAAAAAGAGACCCAGGCAGCAUUUCUUCAGUAUUUUGGUUCAAACGGAUUAUAUAACUGGUUACAGUAUUUCAGCUGGUGGUAAUUUUUGCCUCCCCUUCCCCCACCCCGUUGUUGGGGUUCUUCAGCCGAAACUGAGAGACGUUGAUUUGUGUACUGAGUAGUUUCAGCAGUUUCAAAUGACUGAGUAUUGCUGAAGUUUCAUGGCAGUUUAUUUUUACCUUUAUUGAAAGUUUUAGGAAUUUUUGACUUCAGCUCUUUCAUGUCACAAUGGGACACUUUUUCUGAAUGAAGAGAUUGAAAGAAUACAGAGUUUUUUUCCUUUUAUCUUUUAUUUACGUGGAAAUUUAAGAUGUUGCAGUUUUCCGGCAGCAUGGUAGUAUUGAGAUAGCUAUGUGUGUCUCUGUAUAUGCUGAUGUUUAGGAAUGCUCUUCAGAUGUGAAAUUUUCUUUUUGUUUUUGCUUUUUGGCUCGUAAAUUGGAUAUUUCAUCUGGAGUGGACAAGUACAACAGUGGCAAGUACAUGGAAUAAUAAAGAAGACUUUGAUCUUAAAUCUAAAGAACUUGGCUAAUUCGGGAGAUAGCCAUAUGAAAACUUUAAAACAGAAGUAUGGGUAGCUGACUUGAAGUAACUCUAUGUCAAAUAGUCGUAGGUUAAGUAUCUUCAAAGAACUUCGAUA
rnacentral:lncRNA from 1 species